UAGGGAAGUCUUCCACAAUGGGCGAAGGCCUGAUGGAGCAACGCCGCGUGUGUGAUGAAGGGUUUCGGCUCGUAAACACUGUUGUAAGAGAAGAAUGACAUUGAGAGUAACUGUUCAAUGUGUGACGGUAUCUUACCAGAAAGGAACGGCUAAAUACGUGCCAG
rnacentral:rRNA from 1 species